AAUAAGAGAAGGAUUCAGAAACAUGGAUUCUGCUGCUAAUUAUAUGUGUUCUUAUACUUGUUCGCAAGAUGAUAGCAUCAAUAUUGAAGACAUGGCAACAUAUCAUCACUCUGGCUUUGAUUUCGUACUACGGUUUAGUUAUCAUCGCGAGAAUCCUAACCAUGGCGAUGAUGUGGAAGUGCUUUACUCAUUCCAGAGAUCAUUCUUUAUCCGUCGCGAUGAAUUUCUAUCUGGAAACGAGGACAUGAGGUUAUUUUUUGCGGCCUUUCUGCUUCUUGUGAAUAUUUCCGACAGCGUUGCAGACUCGAUGGUGGAUGAGUUAAUCUCAUUGGCCCAUUUAAUGGUGAAUUAAUGAUCCUAAGAAUGUGGAUCGGAAAGUACUACGCAUUGCCGUGGAUGUUCGGAUUAGGAGUGAGGCCGGGGUGAUUGCCAGGGCUAGGAGGGAUCGGGAGUUUGCGGAUGAAAUGGCCAGGGCUAGAAGGGCUUGCCGAUUGCGGGUCAAACGACGGAUGAUCAUGAUGCGAUUGCCAGGGCUACAAGGGAGUCAAUGCAAGCAGUGAAAUUUGUUCCUGCCACCAAGUCAUCCAUUGAAGCUUUGGAGAAGGUGACAAUUCUCGACAACAAUUCAUGUCUAGAAGUUGAACAGUGUAGGGUUUGCUUGGAGACUCUUUCGACUGCAGCCGAGAGUCCUUGAGGCAGUGGGACUCCCUUGCCAGUCAUAAUUCUACACACCGGUGGCAGAGAUGGAGGAUACCUGUUGGUGACGCUGAACGGAGAGGUUGAUAUCAUCGGCAACAGCCGCGGUGAAGGGGGGCUGAGCUUCUCGAGCUCUUCACUGGUGCGGUGACAUAGGGUUUGGAGCGAAGGAGUUCUUCCUGAUCCUUCUUUGAUUCCCAAGGUCUUAUGUUUGCUUCUCUUAUUAUAUGGAUGAGUUUCUGGAACGCUUCGUUUUCAGAUUGAGGUUUUGGUUUUUCAGUGUCUUGGGAUAAUGGAUCGUGUGGUUUGAGCCUAUGAGGUGGGCCCUUUUCCCGUCAGUUGAAUGAAGACAACAGUAGUAGCUAGCUCCAUCUGUCUAGAUUGACGAAUACAUUUUGUCGUGAUGAACAGAACAGGCAUGCUAUUUGGGCAAACAAGCGAAGCUAUGGUCGACUUUGAAAUACUCAAGGGUACUGCAUGUCGAGUUUGUUUGAGAAAUUAACGAUCAAUGUAUUUGACAAAUACUCCUACAGUAUUAAUUACAGUAUCUUGCAAAGCAAGAGUCAUGGAAAAGUGUUUCACCAAUUUUCAUCCUAUCAAGUAGUCGGUAAGGUGGGCAAGCAGUCCCCCGCAUGAGUAGAUAGAUUAGGAAUUCCUGGUGGAACGUUAACUGUUUUCCUCAGCCCCUUGUUUGUACGGAGCUGCGCUUGGAAGGGGAUCAGUUUGAUCUGUGAAUCCAACAUGGUUAUAAUUAGUCACACUCCUCGUGGAAAGAUUGUUGGAAAUGAUCGUCGUUCCUUCAAAAAAGAAGCAUACUUGCUUGCAUAAUCCUAAAUCCAGUGCAAGUCUUCUGAAGGAAGUGUCGAGAAGCAUCCCUUUAAUUAAAAUGCGGGAGAAAAAAAAAAAUGAAACGUCACCAAUCUUUGGUGACAUAAUUUGAUACAAAACAAUCUCUUCAACAGUUUCCAGGGUCGACGCCCUGAGAGAGUUUUCUAGGAAAAGAAAAGUUUGAACCCUCGUAAACAACAGUUCAAUGACACCAUCAUUGUCACGCCUAACUUUUGCCUGAAUCUACUCAAUAGGCUAACUUCCAUGGCAUGUGACAGUUUCAGGAGCUACUCAGUCAGUAACCUAUUCCUCAUAGUGCCUGGAUUUUUUUUUCGAACGCUGGUCUCCAGAAGCAAUAUAUUUUUCA